CAGUCGCCGCGGGAAUACGUAGGUCCCGAGCGUUGUCCGGAUUUAUUGGGCGUAAAGCGAGCGCAGGCGGUUAGAUAAGUCUGAAGUUAAAGGCUGUGGCUUAACCAUAGUACGCUUUGGAAACUGUUUAACUUGAGUGCAGAAGGGGAGAGUGGAAUUCCAUGUGUAGCGGUGAAAUGCGUAGAUAUAUGGAGGAACACCGGUGGCGAAAGCGGCUCUCUGGUCUGUAACUGACGCUGAGGAGCGAAAGCGUGGGGAGCGAACAGGAUUAGAUACCCCCGUAGUCCCUGUCUCUUAUACA
rnacentral:rRNA from 1 species